UGGGGAAUUUUGGACAAUGGGGGCAACCCUGAUCCAGCCAUGCCGCGUGAGUGAAGAAGGCCUUCGGGUUGUAAAGCUCUUUCGGACGGAACGAAAUGGUCAGGGUGAAUAUCCCUGACUGAUGACGGUACUGUAAGAAGAAGCACCGGCUAACUACGUGCCAGCAGCCGCGGUAAUACGGAGGGUGCAAGCGUUGCUCGGAAUUACUGGGCGUAAAGGGUGCGUAGGCGGCCUUUCAAGUCCGGCGUGAAAGCCCAGGGCUCAGCCUUGGAAGUGCGCUAGAAACUGAAUGGCUAGAGUAUCGGAUGGGAGAGUGGAAUUCCUGGUGUAGCGGUGAAAUGCGUAGAUAUCAGGAGGAAUACCGGUGGCGAAGGCGACUCUCUGGACGAUAACUGACGCUGAGGCACGAAAGCGUGGGGAGCAAACAGGAUUAGAUACCCGAGUAGUCCCUGAGCGGGCUGGCAAGGCGCAU
rnacentral:rRNA from 1 species